CUAAAACGGAAAAUGUUGAUAUAAUUCGCUCCAUGUUGCAUUAACCUACAACAGAGAACUUUACAGUAAGAGUGAUGAGACAACAAAUUUCUCCAACAGAUGAGCAACAGUGAUCAUGCCAAACAAAUUACAAACAGUUUCCUGUUUCUUCCAGCUUGUGUCAGUCGAAAGGCUCUUGAGGAUAAUCAAAGACAAGGGAGAGACCAUCAGAGCUCACUGUACAGCAAUCAAAGUGCAUAUGAUAUAAGUCCAGCCGAAUUUGCACUUUCUCGUGCAUGCUACUACAUGGAGCACAGUAACCAAAGCCAUUACCAUCCUUCAGGCUGAAGCCAGUGUACUGAUUGGCUAGUUCUUUCCAACCAUAGACCAACUGAUGUUAAAGUUAAACUUUCAAGCAGUCUUUAAAUUAUGCCACUAAUU